UACAGAGGUCUCAAGCGUUGUUCGGAUUCAUUGGGCGUAAAGGGUGCGUAGGUGGCGCUGUAAGUCAGGUGUGAAUUUCGGAGCUUAACUCCGAAACUGCAUUUGAUACUGCGGUGCUUGAGGACUGGAGAGGAGACUGGAAUUUACGGUGUAGCAGUGAAAUGCGUAGAGAUCGUAAGGAAGACCAGUGGCGAAGGCGGGUCUCUGGACAGUUCCUGACACUGAGGCAACGAAGGCCCAGGGGAGCAAACGGG
rnacentral:rRNA from 1 species